rnacentral:lncRNA from 1 species
GAAAACAACCAUCAGGUUAAAAUUCAAGUUUUGUCCAUUAUCUUUAUGUUAUGUAUCAGUAUGUAUGGUCGGAUUAUGUUUCUGUGUGAAAGAGAGAGUUGUUCCCCUUUUGCCAGUAUCUUGUUGUAUUUAUGUUUGUGACGUCAUUCUUUGUCUGAUAUUGGAAGCUGAUGUGUUUUUAUGUGUCCGUAUAUAAUCGCCUCCAUCCAUGCUACCAGAGCUAUUCCCCUAGUCUGUAAUAUAGUGGGGACCCGAAACGAUCGUGAAUAAUGAUUUAUACAUAUUUUGGAUUUUAAUUUUUCAUUGGAUUUUGGAUAUUUUUACUUAAAAAGUUGACCGAUUGUUCCUGAUGGAUCCUAGCUGUUAUUCCGCCAUGAUGCUGAUAACUUCUUAUUGAUUUUAAAAAUUAAGCCGAACUUUUAUUAUAGUACCAACAUUUAAAUUGCAUUUUUGAAGAGAAGAACAGACCAUGUCUCGUCUCGUGUACGUACUGUCUUUGUGAAUUAUUUAUGAAUGUCUACAAGUAUUCCGUUUUUAACCAGAAAGCACGUGAGAUUUAUCUCAUUGCAUCAUGAUUAUUCGAUUUCCGUAAUAUUUGGAUCCUGUUUAUAUAUGCUAUUUUCAUUUGACAUUAUUCAAUUUGCAUCGGUGAUAACUGUAUCGCCAUGCAUAGUCUAAAGUUCCGAUUUCAUCAGAAGAGACAUUUUACAUAACAACUGUUGACCUAGAUUUAUCCGUUGAACCUUCUACACGUGUGAUGUGUAUUUCGUAAUGUUGACUGUAUUGCUGUUGUGUUCAUUCCGCCGUAACCUUUAUUUGACUCCGUCUUUUAAAACGUAAUUAUAUUUACUGUGUUUUGGUGAUAAGGGAGCUACCAUUUGAUUUUUAUGGGGGGCUAGGAUGAAAUUUGAAAAAAAUAGGCAGGACAGGAGUUUUGAGUAAAAAAAAAGGCAGGAUGAGACACUUGCAAAAAAAAAAAGUCAGGACGACAAUUUAGGUAAAAAAAGUCAGGAUAAACUAAAAAAAAAAAAGGCAGGACCGAACAGAGUGAAAAAUAAAAAGGCAGGACAGAGAUUACAGCUAAAAAAAAAUGCAGGACAAAAUUUUUCAUCCUAGCCCCCCAUAAAAAUCAAAUGGUAGCUCCCUAACUGUAUCGCCAUGGUUUUGCAGAUUUCCGAGAAGACCAAUUUUAAAGAAAAGCUGAUGAAUUUAUUCUGUACGAGAACAUUCUAUUUUUAACCAUGUUGAUUUUAUGAAUCCAGAUACUUUUCAUGCUAAUUUUGAUCUACAUUAUUUGUUUACUUUGAAAUUAAGCUAAUGUGAAUGUGUUUAUCAUUUAGCG